AGUUGGCAUUGUCAUUCUGUCAAUCAAUGUCAACAACAAACAUUUUUGACCACUAAAAACGUAAAAACCUAAAAACAAAUUUGUUUACUCAUUUUGUGUAGUGCGUGUCCAAAUUCCUUGUUAAUUUGAAGCAAAAUCAUCGUUGCUGAUCAUGUAUUUCAAGCUGUGCGUAUUUCUGUUUACGCUGUUGAUGGCGAGCAAUGUGGAAGCGUCGCAAGGUUACGAUUUCGGGGACUUCUUCGCAACAGUUCUUGGUCUUGGUUUAACAGCUAUUGGAGUGCUCGCGUGCCUGGGCAACUACGCGAGGCAGAAAGCGAGGAACGAGUUCAUAUAACACAAAUACAUCCAUCACAUUUUGAAGCUCUCAAGAGGAUUUCUCUAGUAAUUAAUCUAUAAAUAGUAACAAUGGACUGUAUCAAGAAUUCCACUGUUAUGAAGUUAAUAUUUUUUGUAUUGUUUAAUUUUGAAAUGGCCCUUAUGUGCUAUCUAUUUACUUGUUUGUCAGCACUGCUAUAUUUUGAAAUAUUAUGAUUGCAAAAUAAAAAUGUAAAAUUUC